GAGUUUGAUCCUGGCUCAGAACGAACGCUGGCGGCGUGCUUAACACAUGCAAGUCGAACGUGAUCCAGAGCUUGCUCUGGUGAAAGUGGCGCACGGGUGAGUAACGCGUGGAUAACCUGCCCUGGUAUCUGGGAUAACAUCUCGAAAGGGGUGCUAAUACCGGAUAAGCCUACGGACUCCUCGGAGUCUGCAGGAAAAGGAGGCCUCUAUUUAUAAGCUUCCGUAUCAUGAUGGGUCCGCGUACCAUUAGCUAGUUGGUGGGGUAAUGGCCUACCAAGGCGACGAUGGUUAGCUGGUCUGAGAGGAUGAUCAGCCACACUGGAACUGAGACACGGUCCAGACUCCUACGGGAGGCAGCAGUGGGGAAUUUUGCGCAAUGGGGGAAACCCUGACGCAGCAACGCCGCGUGAGUGAUGAAGGCUUUCGGGUCGUAAAGCUCUGUCAGAGGGGAAGAAAUGAAACGUGCUAAUAUCACGGCUUCUUGACGGUACCCUCAAAGGAAGCACCGGCUAACUCCGUGCCAGCAGCCGCGGUAAUACAAGGGCGMMYUCW
rnacentral:rRNA from 1 species